GUAUAGAUACUGUAUAAUGGGAGAGCACGGCGCUGGGGGGGCACAUGGUGAUCACGAUAACAAAUGAAAACUUCUCUCAGUACUCUGGAUUCCUGAACGGGCAAGGUUUGCACGAAGCUCUCCUCGAAACAAAUUACUGUUGCAUAAGAUAAAGCCCUCACCUGGCAGCCAAGAAUGGAGCACACCUUUAAUAUGACAUAUAAUUGAGACAUAGUGGUCCCGGUCCGAGCGGGACUGCUCGUGUACGAAACCGAGGGCGUGCAUCAACUCGUGGGCAGCGACUCCUGACCACAUGCACCCAGGAGUCUGCAGGGACAGCGUCUGACUUCCUCCGGUCUGCCCUAGAUACGACCAGCAGCUUCAGGGGUGCAGAAGAGAAAUGACAUGACUCAUCAUCACAAUGCACAAAAAUCACAACAAACUGUGUUGACCGACAUUUGUUGUACAAAGUGUUCCUGACCUUUAUACAACUAUGAUACUGUCACCUCUUUACACUGUUGAAUGUGAUAUUAAGUGCAAGGAAAUAUCAAAAGUCAUUCUCUGGCAAUAAAUGUACUUAAAUGUAUCAAAAGUACAAGUAAAACUAACAAUAAAUAUAUUCACGUUUGUUUAUACUGUAUACUGUGGGUCAACCAAUAAUUGGCAUGUCGUUGGUGAUUAUCAUUUAUUAGAUUAUCAGAAUCAGUGUUUCUUUUCACCCGAUCGCUGAUAAAAUAAACACAAAACAUGUGCUA